UGAAAUCUGACAGUUAUUAUCUUUGCUUAAAUUCUGAAGAAUUAUUAUUGUGUUUUAAAUGUUCAAAUUUAAUUAACCUGGAUAGGACUUAGGGGGAGCUUAGAAACCUCGCUCUAUGGACUAUUUGGCUCAGUGAGAGCUUACAAACCUCAGACCUUGAUGUCAACUAGUUACUUAAAUUAUCAAUCAUUAUUCUUAAAUGUUUAUGUUUGUCAUCAUUAAAAAGGAGAAGAUUGUUGUAACUUUGGUUUGUCACAUAUCCCUUAGGUUUUGAUGAUAACAAACUAUUUAAAGAACAAUUGGAUAUACUAAUGUAUGUUUAAGUGCGUAGGACCAUAGACUAAAAUUUCAUAUGGAAUCCAAGUAUUGAUUCUGAGUACGAACAUUCAAAGAGAAGCUUAAAGACUAAAAUCUGAUGGAUCAUAAGUUGAAGACCAGAUUCUGAAGAAGUCAACUUCUGAAGAGGUCAACUUCUGAAGAGGUCAACGUCUGAAGGUUAAAGUCUGAAGGAGUUAGCCUUUGAAGACUAGACUUCGAAAAAGUCUACUUCUGAUGAUCAGAAUCUGAGCUAGUCAAAACGCAAGGACAAGGGUGACUCUGAUGAGUCCUUAUAAACCUCUGAGUCUACUUUGUCACGUGAAGACCUAAGCUUUAUUUUCUUCAUAGAGUCUGUCGGGAUGCAACUGCUAAUUUCUUUUGUAGUAAAGGAUUUUCAAACUAGCCUUCAUCUACCUUGACAAUUUGGUGAAACAUCUCAACAUCUCUUUUAAAGCUUCUCAAAGGAAUCAAUUGUGUUUCAUCUUCAACAUCUCUUUUCUUCUCUAUUUAAGGAUCUAAAGACUUGAAGAAAAAUACACCAAUUUACACUCAAAGAGAAGUUAUUAUGUCAAAGCAAAAGCAGAACCUGGACUUAUAAUUUCUUAUCCUUGUAAACCUUAGAAUUCUCUAAGUUUUAAAAGAGUUUAUUUGUGUUGUAUUCAUUAUACGCCUCUGAUUGUAUAUCAAGUGUAUUUUUCCAAACAAUCAUUUAUCUAUUAGUUAGAUUGUUAGAAGUCUCUUACUAAGUGUUUGAGCAUUUGAAGUGUCUUGCUUGUGUG
rnacentral:lncRNA from 1 species